rnacentral:rRNA from 1 species
UACGUAGGGUGCGAGCGUUGUCCGGAAUUAUUGGGCGUAAAGGGCUCGUAGGCGGUCUGUUGCGUCGGGAGUGAAAACUCAGGGCUUAACCCUGAGCCUGCUUCCGAUACGGGCAGACUAGAGGUAUGCAGGGGAGAACGGAAUUCCUGGUGUAGCGGUGAAAUGCGCAGAUAUCAGGAGAAACACCGGUGGCGAAGGCGGCAUCCUGGACCAACACUGACGCUGAGGAGCGAAAGCCAGGGGAGCAAACGGG